rnacentral:lncRNA from 1 species
CCCCUCUUAUUUCUUUCAUUUCUCAGCUUGGAUGUUCAGAGAACUACAAGCUUCGAACCAAAUUUUCUCUUUCUUUUUUGUCCUUCUUUUCUCAUUUUUAGAGUAAUUGCAAUUUGCACCCAGAAAUUUGAAAGAAAAUGCAAUAUCUUACUCCAUCAUCGUCGGGUAUAAAUCUCAAAUCGUUAAUCCGGUCGAAAAUUCAAUCUCACCUGGUUGUUCCGAGUCGACUCGUUAUCAAAUGCGCUUACCGGUUUGAGUCGUCCAACGCAGCCGCCAACACCGGUACCAUAAAUACUAACGGUGCUCCGUCGACCUAUAACGCUGGACACGUCGGCGCGUCGCGAGCUGAUUGGCAGAGUUCCUGUGCCAUUUUGGCAAGUAAAGUCGUGUCCCAGCAGCAGGACACUGAGAUGAGCGGCGGUGCCGGUAACAUCACCGCCGUCAACGGCCAUACGAUGAUAGAUCUUGAUCUCGUUGCCAUCAAUGACAACCAGCCUAAGCCGCUCACCAUCACUGACCUCUCCCCUGCGCCGAUGCACGGCGCUCAGCUCCGCGUCGCCUACCAAGGCGUUCCUGGCGCGUACAGUGAAGCUGCCGCCGGCAAGGCUUAUCCGAAAUGUGAAGCGAUACCUUGUGAUCAAUUUGAGGUUGCAUUUCAAGCCGUUGAACUCUGGAUUGCAGACCGCGCAGUUCUUCCCGUCGAGAACUCUCUCGGAGGUUCCAUUCACCGGAAUUACGACCUCCUCCUCCGUCACCGUCUCCACAUCGUCGGAGAAGUCCAGCUCCCGGUCCACCACUGCCUCUUAGCACUUCCAGGCGUUAGAAAAGAGUACCUAACUCGAGUCAUAAGCCAUCCACAAGCCCUAGCUCAGUGCGAACUCACUCUCACA